UCAGAUAACCGUAACUUAUACAAUACCUUCCGCUUAAUACCCACACCUUAUCCUUCUCUCUCUUCGGUCUAUCUCAGUUGUCUCCAAUGGCGAAAACCCAAAAACCCAAGAAAAUAAAACUGGUAAAAGUAUCUGAUGCUAAUUCCAAACAAAACCCCCUUCAAAAACCCAAUUUAAAGAAACGUAAGAGUGAAACCUUCGCCUCAUCACCUGCUGCCGCCGCCACCGCCAGCAGCUGUCCUCCCAAAAAUACUCAAACAGAUUCUGAUUCAGAUUCCGACUCUAGUUCAAAUUCCCAUUUUGAUUCCGACCCCGUUGAUAUCCCAACCCUCCUUGAACCCUACACCAAAGAACAGCUUAUCGAACUCAUAUCUAUAGCUGCUACAAAUAACCCCUCUAUUUAUCCCCUAAUUAAUGAACAUGCUGACCGGGAUGCCUCCCACCGGAAAAUCUUCGUCCAUGGAUUUACUUGGGACACCACGCGUGAAAACGUUCUCUCUGCAUUUGAACCCUUUGGUGAAAUCGAGGAGUGUAAUGUUGUAACGGAUAAAGUCACUGGAAAAGCUAAAGGGUACGGUUUCGUCUUGUUCAAGACGAGAAAGGGAGCAGCUAUGGCCUUAAAAGAUCCAAAGAAGAAUAUAAAUAAUCGGUUUGCAAGCUGUCAGUUGGCAUCUAUUGGUCCAGCGGCUAACGUAGGUAAAGAUCAGGAAGUUGGAGCUAGGAAGAUAUAUGUGAGCAAUGUGCAAGUGAAUGCUGAUAAAGAAAAGUUGAAAGCUUUCUUAGCUAAAUUUGGAGAAAUUGAGUCUGGGCCAAUAGGAUUUGAUAAAGAAACGGGAAGGUCAAGAGGGUAUGCUUUGUUUGUUUAUAAAACGGUAGAGGGAGCUAAAAGGGCAUUAGAGGAGCCUCACAAAAUGUUUGAGGGUCAGCAGUUGCAUUGCUCUAUAGCUACGGAAGGGAAGAACAAGACUAAUCAGGUGCAAAUGCAGCAACAACAGCAGGUGAAGCAGCAAUCACAAGAUCAGAUGUUGGCAGCAGUAGCAGCAGCACAGAAUUUGGCAUUGUUUGGACAGCAACCUGGGAUUAAUCCAGUGUAUGGUGGGUUGUUGAGUAAUCCGGCUGCUGCUGCUCCUGCUGGCAUGAUUAAUCCAUUGAUGGUUGGUGCAGUGAGCCAAAGUCUUGUGCCAACAAGUCAAAUAGGUGGGCUGGGACUUGCAACUCAGUCAGUGCUUGGGACUUAUGGGGCAGGAAGGGGAUUGCAACAUGUUUACUCAAACACACAGACAGGACAGGGUGGGGUGGGUAGGGGUCAGGGACUUGGCAGUUCAUUUGCCGGAUAUCCACCAUAUAUGUGAUUUGGAUCCCAAGCUUAAGACCAGUGCGGGUAGAUGGCUUGUAAUUGGUCAGUUUUAAACUAUAGUUGUUUAACAAAAGAUGAUUUGCUGCAGAGCUUGAGGAAUGAUGUCCAUGUACCUUUGGGGAAUAUUUACCUAGGAAGUUAUUGUGGGCCAAUUGCUAAUAGAAAUUUGCAGUUGGACUGAAUUUCUCAUAGUUUACAAUCUUCUAUAGCCAAGCUAAAGCAGAACUUGGCAAACCAUUUCUCUUCUUCUUAACCUUCAUCAUUUCGUUCUUCCUUGUUUCCAUCUUAGACCUGCUUGUUGUAAGAUUUGACAACUUUGGUUUCCUUAUGAAAUUUUAAUUUUAUUGUUUAUUGGCCCUUUUUGCC